AGGACAAAAGCAGGAUGACCUACACCAAUGCUUUCAUCAUGGAAAUUAUUCGCACUUCCGAGUUCGGCACCGCAUUUCCCAGUCAGCAAUGCAUCAAAGAGACAACAGUGCGUGGUUAUAAGAUUCCGAAGGGAGCUAUGACGCUUAUGAAUGUGUGGUCUUGCCAUCAUGAUCCGAACAUUUAUGAAAAUCCUGAAAAGUUCGACCCAACUCGCUUCAUUCCUGAAAACGGGAAGCAAAGACCAGAAUUGCCCAACAUAUUCGGUGUCGGUGAGUCACAAAUGUUUCCAUAAUUUUACUGUGCAAAAAUGUAAGGCUGUUCAGAAUGAACUGGUAGAAGUGACACUGGUUUGUUAACAUUAUACACCAAUGAAGAAAAUUUUGCACGCAAAUUAGAAUUCCUAUAAUCUCUUUUCUUUUGUAAUUUUUCCUCCUUAGAUUAUUCCUUAGACCACUUUUUUUGUUUAAUUUUUAAAUAUAGAAUUUAUUUUAGUAUGAAUAUGCUUAAUUCCAUUAUAUUGUUCGUUUAUUUUACUUUUCUCAGAGAAAAAGAUGCAAUGGAAAAUGAAAGUUUUUAAGUAAAAUUUGAAAGAAAUACCUCUACAUAUAUUUCAAAAUAAAUAAAUUAAUGAAUUAUUUAAAAUAAUUAUGGAACUGAAAUUUUAAAAGAAAAAAAUUUUCAUUAUUUAAUCACUGUCUAUACAUUAAUCAGACAUUAUUGGGGAAUACGGAGAAAGGUUCAAAAUAUGUUUUCAAAAUGCUACUUCAUUAGAACAUCUGAAAAUGUUUCUACGAACAAUUCUGUAUUUUUAAAAAUAGAAUGAUAUUUUCAACAAAAAAAAAGCAAUACUAUUGUUUUUUUCUUUCUUAUUACAUAAAAUAUUACAAAAAGAAAAUCAAAUAUCAGAAAAAUAUCGAAAUGAUGUAGUACUCUUUAAGUAAAAAAUAUUGAAAUUUUAUUUGAAAAUAAUAUGAAUAUUUUUUUAUUUAAAAAAGAAUAUUUCAUCAAUUACCCCAUCAUGUCUCAGGUAUGAAGCGGGACGGGGUAAAGGGGAAAAUUAAUUUAAAGAAAAAUU